CCGAAUCCACUUCUCUGGCUGCAAUGCGCGCUCCCGACACAGGGGGAACAAAUUUUCACAGGGGAACAGAAUUUCUCACAAGACCGGAAGUAAGACCCAUAAUUGUUUCCCCAGUAAGCCUCCCAGGAAUUUGUUAGCCGGCAUGCAAGGUAAAAUAUUAUCUAGCUUUCUGUUUCUUCAUCCUUUUACAGUAUUUCUUUCAAAUUUUCCUGUAUCAACUUUCUUGCAAACUAGCCAUUACGUCACACUUUUAAGGCUAGUGUAGUUAAAAUAUUCAACAAUCAGUUCAGCUUUAAAUGACUUUCCAGACUAUCUUACUACUGAGGUUUUUUUAAUACAUGUCCUGAUUGUUGCCACAGCACUGAGGCAAACAUGUGUGUUUUUGUGUCCAACAGCUCUAGUGGAUAUUACUUGCACUCUUUUGCUGCUCAAUCCGGACUUCACCACUGCCUGGAAUGUCAGGAAAGAGCUGUUAGAGUGUGGUGCUCUCAAUCCAGAAAGAGACCUUUACCUGAGCAAGCUGGCCCUCACCAAAUUCCCCAAAAGCCCUGAGACAUGGAUACAUAGGUAAGGUUUUAAAACUCAGAUUUCCCUUUUUUUAAAGAAUAGAACAAAUGUUCUCUAUUAUUUCAAAUAUUUUUGUAGUGCUCACAUUUUGGAAGUGAAACCCACAAAAAUUGCAUACGGAAUCCAAAUUAAAUGGAAAAGAAAGACCUUUUGUGAUGAGACUGGAAAUACAAAUAUUUAUCCUUACUCUAUUUAAAAAAUACAAACAAACAAAUUGCACUAUAAGACUGUAAGAACCCUGUAAUUAAUUAUGUAAUUGCUCAUCUGAAGCCAAAUGUAAACAUCACAGCUAAAGUCCAAAUCCAGGUGACAUGCUGCA